rnacentral:rRNA from 1 species
AGAGUUUGAUCAUGGCUCAGAGCGAACGCUGGCGGCAGGCUUAACACAUGCAAGUCGAGCGGGCGUAGCAAUACGUCAGCGGCAGACGGGUGAGUAACGCGUGGGAACGUACCUUUUGGUUCGGAACAACACAGGGAAACUUGUGCUAAUACCGGAUAAGCCCUUACGGGGAAAGAUUUAUCGCCGAAAGAUCGGCCCGCGUCUGAUUAGCUAGUUGGUGAGGUAAUGGCUCACCAAGGCGACGAUCAGUAGCUGGUCUGAGAGGAUGAUCAGCCACAUUGGGACUGAGACACGGCCCAAACUCCUACGGGAGGCAGCAGUGGGGAAUAUUGGACAAUGGGGGCAACCCUGAUCCAGCCAUGCCGCGUGAGUGAUGAAGGCCCUAGGGUUGUAAAGCUCUUUUGUGCGGGAAGAUAAUGACGGUACCGCAAGAAUAAGCCCCGGCUAACUUCGUGCCAGCAGCCGCGGUAAUACGAAGGGGGCUAGCGUUGCUCGGAAUCACUGGGCGUAAAGGGUGCGUAGGCGGGUCUUUAAGUCAGGGGUGAAAUCCUGGAGCUCAACUCCAGAACUGCCUUUGAUACUGAGGAUCUUGAGUUCGGGAGAGGUGAGUGGAACUGCGAGUGUAGAGGUGAAAUUCGUAGAUAUUCGCAAGAACACCAGUGGCGAAGGCGGCUCACUGGCCCGAUACUGACGCUGAGGCACGAAAGCGUGGGGAGCAAACAGGAUUAGAUACCCCCGUAGUCC